UGGGGAAUUUUGGACAAUGGGCGAAAGCCUGAUCCAGCAAUGCCGCGUGAGUGAAGAAGGCCUUCGGGUUGUAAAGCUCUUUUGUCAGGGAAGAAACGGUGAGGGCUAAUAUCCCUUGCUAAUGACGGUACCUGAAGAAUAAGCACCGGCUAACUACGUGCCAGCAGCCGCGGUAAUACGUAGGGUGCAAGCGUUAAUCGGCAUUACUGGGCGUAAAGCGUGCGCAGGCGGUUUUGUAAGUCUGAUGUGAAAUCCCCGGGCUCAACCUGGGAAUUGCAUUGGAGACUGCAAGGCUAGAAUCUGGCAGAGGGGGGUAGAAUUCCACGUGUAGCAGUGAAAUGCGUAGAUAUGUGGAGGAACACCGAUGGCGAAGGCAGCCCCCUGGGUCAAGAUUGACGCUCAUGCACGAAAGCGUGGGGAGCAAACA
rnacentral:rRNA from 1 species